UCCUUGGUGGCUCAGAGGUUAAAGCAUCUGCCUGCAAUGCGGGAGACCUGGGUUCAAUCCCUGGGUCAGGAA
rnacentral:tRNA from 1 species